rnacentral:rRNA from 1 species
GACGAACGCUGGCGGCGUGCUUAACACAUGCAAGUCGAACGGAAAGGCCCUGCUUUUGUGGGGUGCUCGAGUGGCGAACGGGUGAGUAACACGUGAGUAACCUGCCCUUGACUUUUGGAUAACUUCAGGAAACUGGGGCUAAUACCGGAUAGGAGCUCCUGCUGCAUGGUGGGGGUUGGAAAGUUUCGGGGGGUGGGGAUGGACUCGCGGGUUAUUAGCUUGUUGGGGGGGUGGUGGCUUACCAAGGAUUUGACGGGUAGCCGGACUGAGGGGGCGACCAGGCACAUUGGGGAGAGAGGACGGCACGGACGCCGGCGGGAGGCAGGAGGGGGGAAUGGUGGGAAAUGGGCGGGGGACUGAUGCAGCAACGCCGAGGGGGGGAUGACGGGCUUGGGGUUGGAAGCCGCGUUCAGCAGGGGCGAAGCUUGUGGUGACGGUACCUGAAGAAGAAGCACCGGCUAACUACGUG